UCUAUGAUUUAUAUAAACCUUUGUAUGUUUUUGAAUGUCUUUUUAUUGGCCGUAAGGUUAGUAAAUCUAUACUACUUUCAGCAACGNAUCUCUUGGCUCUCCCAUCGAUGAAGAACGCAGCGAAAUGCGAUAAGUAAUGUGAAUUGCAGAAUUCAGUGAAUCAUCGAAUCUUUGAACGCUACCUUGCGCCCUUUGUUAUUCCGAAGGGCAUGCUUGUAUGAGUGUCAUUAAAUUCUCAAAAACCUUUGGUUUGUUCUGAAGGCUUUUGGAUGUGAGGGCUUGCUGGCUUUCGGUCUGCUCCCUUUAAAUGCAUUAGUGGAUUCCUUUGUGAACGGUCACUUGGUGUGAUAAUCUAUCUACGCCGCUUGACUUGAAGCAAGCCUUAUGGUAGUUCGCUCAUAACCGUCUUUCGAGACAACUCUUUGACCAUUUGACCUCAAAUCAAGUAGGACUACCCGCU
rnacentral:rRNA from 1 species